rnacentral:misc_RNA from 1 species
AACGCACAUUGCACUCUCUGGUAUUCCGGAGAGUAUGCUUGUUUGAGUAUCAGUAAACACCUCAAGUCUCUUCUCUAGAGAAGAGAAUUGGACUUGAGCAAUCCCAACUCUUUGCAAAAAGGGGCGGGUUGCUUGAAAUGCAGGUGCAGCUGGACAUUCUUCUGAGCUAAAAGCAUAUUCAUUUAGUCCCGUCAAACGGAUUAUUACUUUUGCUGCUAGCUAAUAUAAAGGGAGUUUGACCAUUUUGGCUGACUGAUGCAGGAUUUUCACAAGAGUCUUAAAAAACCCUUGUUAAACUCGAUCUCAAAUCAAGUAAGACUACCCGCUGAACUUAA